GUGGGUAUAGCUUAGUGGUAGAGUGCAUGCUUAGCAUGCACAAGGUCCUGGGUUCAAUCCCCAGUACCUCCA
rnacentral:tRNA from 1 species